GUUUCCAGACGAAGAGCAUAUACCAGUUAAACUCCGCCAUUUUGCCUCUCAGUGUUCAAGCUUGAGCCUACGCAUCCAACUCCUGAGAUCUUACUGGGAAGCUGCUGAUCAUCAGUUUCAGGUAAGACGGGUUGAAGAUCCGAGAGGCUGAGUCACUUCCACAAAGUAACACAGCUGAUUUUAAAUGCCUGCAUUCAGCAUCCCUGCAGCAGGCUCCAGGUGGAAUUCUAAUGGGACCAGCCUCCAGUCCCUGGACCUUAGCUGUGGAAGGAGAGAAGAGGACAUCUGCACCUCCUCUCAGAGAAAGCCUGAUGCCUACUAAAGGACUUGGGUGGUGGACACAGUGACCCUCAGUCUGGAGCUUGUUCACUGAACAUUGGAGACUAUCAUUUGCGCAGAUGGUCUUGGGCCUCUAUGAGCAGCAGGCUGCACCCCACAGUGACCUCCUCAUUCUACUCUGAGGCAUCUUCAUGAAAGCAGAUGUCCCUUGAAAAGCACCCAAGUGCAGUCUCAGCUGAUGAACUUCAGAGACGAUUGAGACAAAGGCUCUCGGUCCCCUCUGCCCUUGGAUGGUGCCUCUGGUAUGCACUUGGCCUCUGUGUCUUUAUUUAGACUGGUCACUUCACAACCCAUCAUGUCACCCCACCCCUAACCGUGCCCACUCUGGGUCCUCCCCUCAACUGCCUGACUUCCCACUUUGAGCUCAGCAAAGGCA
rnacentral:lncRNA from 1 species